UAAAACUUUAUAAGGAUUCAAAAUGCUUUUGGGGUCAAGUAACUUCUUGAUCGAACCCAUAAGUUGCACAGCUUCCGCCGACUUGCUGUAAUGAAUUUUAUCAGCUUUCAUUAGUCCGAGUCCAUGUUCCGCACUGAUACUUCCUCGGUGCAUUGACGUCCACUGAUAGACAAAGGGUUCAAUCUGCGCAAGUAUAUUAUCAUCAUACUGAGCUGUUGAAAUAUUUAGAUGCAAGUUACCAUCUCCAAGGUGUCCAUA
rnacentral:misc_RNA from 1 species